CCUACGGGAGGCAGCAGUGGGGAAUAUUGCACAAUGGGCGAAACCCUGAUGCAGCAACGCCGCGUGAGUGAUGAAGGACUUCGGGUCGUAAAGCUCUGUCCUCAAGGAAGAUAAUGACGGUACUUGAGGAGGAAGCCCCGGCUAACUACGUGCCAGCAGCCGCGGUAAUACGUAGGGGGCUAGCGUUAUCCGGAAUUACUGGGGGAAAGGGGUGCGGAGGUGGUUUUUUAAGUCAGAGGGGAAAGGCUACGGCUAAACCGUAGUAAGCCUUUGAAACUGGGAGACUUGAGUGCAGGAGAGGAAAGUGGAAUUCCUAGUGUAGCGGUGAAAUGCGUAGAUAUUAGGAGGAACACCAGUUGCGAAGGCGGCUCUCUGGACUGUAACUGACGCUGAGGCACGAAAGCGUGGGGAGCAAACAGGAUUAGAUACCCGUGUAGUC
rnacentral:rRNA from 1 species